rnacentral:rRNA from 1 species
GAUGAACGCUAGCGGCAGGCUUAACACAUGCAAGUCGAGGGGUAUAGUUCUUCGGAGCUAGAGACCGGCGCACGGGUGCGUAACGCGUAUGCAAUCUACCUUUUGCAGAGGGAUAGCCCAGAGAAAUUUGGAUUAAUACCUCAUAGUAUGUGAGAAUGGCAUCAUUUUCACAUUAAAGUCACAACGGCAAAAGAUGAGCAUGCGUCCCAUUAGCUUGUUGGUAAGGUAACGGCUUACCAAGGCAACGAUGGGUAGGGGUCCUGAGAGGGAGAUCCCCCACACUGGUACUGAGACACGGACCAGACUCCUACGGGAGGCAGCAGUGAGGAAUAUUGGACAAUGUGCGCAAGCUUGAUCCAGCCAUGCCGCGUGCAGGAUGACGGUCCUAUGGAUUGUAAACUGCUUUUGUACAGGAAGAAACACUGGUUCGUGAACCAGCUUGACGGUACUGUAAGAAUAAGGAUCGGCUAACUCCGUGCCAGCCGCCGCGGUAACAC